AGCGAACGCUGGCGGCAGGCCUAACACAUGCAAGUCGAACGAACUCUUCGGAGUUAGUGGCGGACGGGUGAGUAACACGUGGGAACGUGCCUUUAGGUUCGGAAUAACUCAGGGAAACUUGUGCUAAUACCGAAUGUGCCCUUCGGGGGAAAGAUUUAUCGCCUUUAGAGCGGCCCGCGUCUGAUUAGCUAGUUGGUGAGGUAAAGGCUCACCAAGGCGACGAUCAGUAGCUGGUCUGAGAGGAUGAUCAGCCACAUUGGGACUGAGACACGGCCCAAAGUCCUACGGGAGGCAGCAGUGGGGAAUCUUGCGCAAUGGGCGGAAGCCUGACGCAGCCAUGCCGCGUGAAUGAUGAAGGUCUUAGGAUUGUAAAAUUCUUUCACCGGGGACGAUAAUGACGGUACCCGGAGAAGAAGCCCCGGCUAACUUCGUGCCAGCAGCCGCCGCAG
rnacentral:rRNA from 1 species